GAUGUUUUCUGUAGGUUUGUGGUGAAUAAUUUUGAAAAAUAGGUCAAUAGAUUAUUUAAGUUUCUUCAUCUAAACAAAAAGCGUUUGAAGAUAUUUAAAAAUAUUUUUGAACGGAGCUGCCACCUUU